rnacentral:rRNA from 1 species
GGACCAAGGAGUCUAGCAUGUGCGCGAGUCAUUGGGACAUGAUUAAACCUAAAGGCGUAAUGAAAGUAAAGGUUUGCCUUGCGUAAACCGAGGGAGGAUGAGUGGUUUGCCCUCAAAAAGUGGCCACUCCGCACUCCCGGGGCGUCUCGUUCUCAUUGCGAGAAGAGGCGCACCAAGAGCGUACACGCUGGGACCCGAAAGAUGGUGAACUAUGCCUGGUCAGGACGAAGUCAGGGGAAACCCUGAUGGAGGUCCGUAGCGAUUCUGACGUGCAAAUCGAUCGUCGGAACUGGGUAUAGGGGCGAAAGACUAAUCGAACCAUCUAGUAGCUGGUUCCCUCCGAAGUUUCCCUCAGGAUAGCUGGCGCUCGUUGCGUACGAGUUUCAUCCGGUAAAGCGAAUGAUUAGAGGCAUUGGGGUCGAAACGACCUCAACCUAUUCUCAAACUUUAAAUGGGUGAGAUCUCCGGCUUGCUCGAACUCAUGAAGCCGCGAGACUCAAAUCAGAGUGCCAAGUGGGCCAUUUUUGGUAAGCAAAACUGGCGCUGUGGGAUGAACCAAACGUCGAGUUAAAGCGCCUAAAUCGACGCUUAUGGGAUACCAUGAAAGGCGUUGGUAACUUAAGACAGCAGGACGGUGACCAUGGAAGUCGGAAU